UCAUCUCAUGUGUUACCUGCACCUAUCCAGCCCCAGUGUUCUUUGUGAUUCCUUCUUGUGUUCCCUGUGGUUCCCUAGUGUUCUCAGUUGGACUAUUUUGGAUUUAAUUUUCUUGGCCUUUUUAAGUCGUAUCUGACCCCGGUCAGAGAUGAAGAAGCAGAAUCUCAAAGGAAAGCCAAGUCUCGUCAUGCUAGACAGACCCGCAGGUCGACACAGGGUGUGACUCUGACAGACCUGAAAGAGGCUCAGAAGACCAUCAGCCUGCCUCCUCAUGACAGGCAGAUGGAAGAAGGAGGGAUUCUGGAUGAAAGAUCCUGUUUGAGGAAAAGCUCUGCAGAUGACAAGAGAGUCAGAACUGACAUGACAGAGCCCACGGGAGCAACGGAGAUCAGUCGGAAGUGGAGCAAAAUGGACGAGGAAGGGAACAUUGACACCAGGUUAGAAACAGUUGCUGAGGGCCCAGCUUCAAACCUUUCUUAUUCUUCAGCUGCUGAGUCCUGUGGCCUGACAUACUGCAAUGAUACCUUCAGAGUCGGUGAGAGAUGGUGGAGAGAUGAGAAUCAGAACCCUGUUGAUGAAACAGCACAGCCCAACUUUACAACAAAGCAGCAACAGAGGCGGAGCUGCUGGGAUGCUGAAGGAUCAGACUUCAACUCUUCAGAGCAUGACAGAUUGUCAAGAUAUGACUCCAGUGGUGAAAGUGCUACAGACAAACCAGUGGGCCGUACCAGUUCCUACUCGAAGAGAGAGACAAGGCUGGGCGCUCUUAACAGACAGGAGGAGGACUCAACCACCAAAGACUAUAAGAAGAUGUAUGCAGAAGCUUUGCAUGAGAACGAGAGGCUCAAGUCCAGGUUGCAGGAUAGCAAACAAGAGCUCAUCAAGAUACGCUCCCAGCUGGACAAAGUUACCCAGAGGCAUGAAAGAAUAUCAGAGAGAUCUUCAGUACUUGAUACGGAGAAGAGGGAAAAACAAGCUCUUGAGAAAAGAGUGUCAAACAUGGAGGAGGACAUGAAGGUCGGUGCACACAAAAAUAAACUGCUCACACACAUUGGAUAUAAAUGGCACAUUUUUCCUGUAAUACAAGCGACUUGUCAUUUAUUUGGUUGAUGAUUCUCCAGACCCAUAAAAACACUAACAGUAUUUGAAAAAAUACACCUCCAGCCAGGCCCAUCUCACUCGUGCUAAAUCAAGCACGCCUAAAGUGUUUUUACAGAGCAAAAGACACACAUGUAGCCCACCCCAGGGCUUUUGGUUUGCCAGGUGGAUUUGGAGUCAAGGAGAAAGGGAAGGUUAAUGCUUCAGGCUCAUUACCCACAGUAUUCUGCUGGGCCACUUCCUGCCAGGCUAAGGAGGAGCCUGUACUGUUCCUCUGCUCCACUUAUCCCACUGUUGGGGUGAACACUGUGACCUAGUUCCAGCUGAAUACCGAACCCCGUUCCAAGAGCAAAGACCUGCUUUUGUGAGACAUUCCUUCACUGCACUGUGUGUAUUCUGCCUCUCAGAGAGACACAGGGCAGAGCAGCAGAGAAAGGCCCGAGGAGAAGUGAUGUGGACUCUACGUGUUCUGAAAGCAGUUACAAAUUAAUGAGACUAUAAUUUGAUUGUAAGAGUAACAUUGUUAUGCUCCCCAAGAGGAAUAAAAUCCCGGCUCCAGUGUAAGAAAAUACAACAUGCAGUCAGUGAUGACAUCCUUAUAAAUAUAACACAUGCAAAAGUAUGGUAUGACAGCAACAGAUGUUUGAUGUGUUGUCGCGGUUCCCUCAGCAGGGUGCCCCAGUGCGGUUCCGCUGUGGGUAUCAGCCCUGAGAGCAGGCUGUCUCAGGGGAGGGGGGAUGAUCUUAACAGAGCUCAAGUCAGACAACCAGAGGCUAAAGGAUGAGAACGGGGCUCUCAUUCGGGUCAUCAGCAAACUGUCCAAAUGAAAAGAUGUCUGAAGCUCCUGCUCUGUGUUUGUGGACGCUCUAACACUGACAUGGCAGCUUAAUUACCCAUAACAUGACUACUGUCAUAUGAGUUAUGGUGAUGAGCUGCCCUGGGCCUGUUGGGACUUGUGAAUAUCCAAGAGAUGUGUUCUGAAGUUUCAGUCAAAUAUCUGCCCUGAGUGCUGCAGACUCACAACAGUUUGAACUUGGUUAGUUACAAGUAUGUUGCAUCAUGAAGUAUUUCACAGGGGACCAUUUAUACUGUUUGAGAAAGGCCCAGUUUGACAAAUGUAGAGGUUUGCAUGAAGGUAUUGUUUCCAAUAUUACACCUACACUUCGCACUUAGACUUCACAUUUGUUGCAACAUCAUGCACUGCAGAAAAUAUCUUUAUAUGCUCGUAGUUAUGCAAAAAUAAAGUAGAAAUGUAUGUCAUUAUUAUUUUUGCAAAUGUGUUACGUCAUGUUUUUUGGCUUGAAAUAUGUCAAGCAAAUAUUAACCCAAUUAAGAACCAAACAGGCAUCAGAGUAAGAACGAGCAUUCAUCCUAAGUGCUUUAAGAUGCACUGAUUUCUUAACUACAAGUUUUACGCUUUGAUACAUAUAAGAAAUAUCUCAGGUUUUUCACUCGGCUGUGCCUGGUCAUGCUUCUAAAAUUUCAAUUCUGUGAACUUAUGAACCAAGUCAGGAGAAAAACAUGAAUAUUUCUGACUUUGGUCUGCAGUCCAAGAGUCAGUGCCCCGGGAGAAAGUCUAACAUAUUGCAUAACAGCAAAGCUGCCAACCAUUUCCAAGUGGUUAGAUUUUUGGUGAUAUUUCAGUCAAACCUCUAUCUUUUUUUUUCUAUCAUAUUUGGGUUCAUCUAACAUAUAAUGAUGUCCCGGGUGUAUUUUGUGUUUGAAGUGGACCAUAUGUUCGACCUAAAAGGCAGAGCUGAGUCAUACACACUCUGUACAGAGUAGAAGGUGCUGCACUCCAGCAUCACUAGCAGAAUGUAAAAUAUUUUAGUGUUUGCCAGAUUUUGGUUCUUCAGUUCUCUGUUUUUGUUUGAGCCACUCUUCAGUUUUUCUUCAGUAAGCACUUCAUGGAGACUUUAUCAGCGGCUCAGCUUCGGAUCACCUGAGCGGCAACACAGAGGAGGCCGUCUAUGUAUGUGUGUGUGUGUGUGUGUUUGUGUUUGGAAGAAAUUUCCUGUGAUAUCUUUUUGUUAAAGAGAUUUAUUUAUUUAUUUAUGCAUUUCUUAGUUUUAAUCUUUAUACCUUGUGUACUUAAUUUCCAAGUCAUACACAGAUAACUUUUCUUGCCGUCUUUCUGUGAGGCGAUGAAAACACGAAUCCCCCACUAACAGAUGUGCUGUAAAAUCACUGCUGACAUUUUAUCCUGCACAAUAUUGUGUGAUCUUAUUAACUUACUCAAAUGUUUUAUGAAAUAAACUGUUGCUGGCACUUUUCAUUACAUGAGGUGUAGAUUACCUGAAGAUGAACUUGGUGGUGUUAUUAGUAUAAUAAUGUUAAAGUGAAUAACUUUAUUUUAAUUAUGGACCAGAAACACUAGAUAGGCAGUUCAUUAGGUACACAUGCAAUCUGAUAGGACAGCAAUAAAUCCUAACUUCAUUGCACUUAUCAGCUUUCUGUUCUUGCCCUUUAAGAGGCUGCAGCUGCACAGUAUUACAUUUAAGAGAAAUAUAUCUUCAAAUGACUCUUUGGUCAACGUAUAAGAAACUCUCUGCACAAGGCCGCUACCUUGUUGAGGUUUUUUAAGGAGGUCAAGGCAACUUUAUAAUUUUCUACUUGGCCACAUUUGUCUGAAGAGCACAGAAGAUGAUUUAUCUGUGUAACAUUUUGUGUGUAAUCUUUGGCAUAUAGGGUUUAUUUUUUUGCUGAAUAAAGGGUGUCUUAUGAGUUUGUUUUUAGCAGGGCACAUUAUUCAAACCAGACACAAAAAUGUAUUUUAAAAAAUCAUUAAUUCAGUCAAUCUAAUCCACAACAGAUAAAACCAUCCCCUAGAGGCAAAGCCUGUUUUUAUAUAUCUUAUCAUAUUUGAAGUAGCAGACAGCGAAAAUUCCUUUAGCUGUAGUGUUGCUGCAACAGAUAAAUGGUGUGUCUAAGAUGUAAAUGACUUCAGUACCUGCCUUCUUUCACUUAACAGCUGUAUUGUCCACAGUGUUCGCUGUAUUUCUUUUACACUGGCUGUUUUCGAAACGGCCUGCUAAAUACUACCUACUAAUGUAGUAGACAGUAGGUACUGCCUACUACAUACUGCGUUUGAAUUUAGUAUGUAAUAUGACUACUCUGUUCGAUCUGUGUUGCAGUAUGCUGGGCCAGACGUCACUGAAUUUCCGGUUUCGGAAUGCAGAAGUAAAAAACAGCCAAGCUGAUUGCAAAACUGCUUCUUUAGCAUUCACUUAGGAUUUAAAAAGUUAGGAAGUGGCUUAUAUGGAAUUAAAUAAUUUCCACAGCACCUAAAAACUGAGUUCCCCUCGUCAAAAUAAGAAGAAAAAAAAGAAAAAGCAGAGCGCUGUGCAUUGUGGGAAACAGUACGCAAGGCAGACUGGUCCGAUGCAUACUGUGAAAUUUUCCAGAAUCAGUAGACAUCCGGGGAGUUUUGGCAUACUGCAGAUUUUGCUCUUGUUCACAUACUACUUACUACAUACUGAAUUUUGGCCAAAUCAGUACCUACUGCUAGUAUAGUAGGCGGUUUUGAAAACAGCCAAUGUGAUGGUUUAGAGUCCAAACAUGGCAACACCAGUGUUCUUUUUGAUCACACUCAAAGCUACAAUCAGGGUAAGGUAUGUGCUGCAGAUGUAUUGAACUAUGCAAUAUCUUGUGUUGUACUGUUUGUAAUGAGUUUAUAAUAGCUUCAUACACACACAGGUUUACUCACUUUGCUUAAUAAACUGUAAAGGAGUGAU